UACGUAGGUGGCGAGCGUUGUCCGGAUUUACUGGGCGUAAAGCGCGCGCAGGCGGUUCGUUAAGUCUGGUGUGAAAGCUCCCGGCUCAACUGGGAGAGGUCAUCGGAUACUGGCGGACUCGAGGGAUGCAGAGGAAGGUGGAAUUCCCGGUGUAGUGGUGAAAUGCGUAGAGAUCGGGAGGAACACCAGUGGCGAAGGCGGCCUUCUGGGCAUUUCCUGACGCUGAGGAGCGAAAGCGUGGGGAGCAAACAGG
rnacentral:rRNA from 1 species